AUUGAACGCUGGCGGCAGGCCUAACACAUGCAAGUCGAACGGUAACAGGAAGAAGCUUGCUUCUUUGCUGACGAGUGGCGGACGGGUGAGUAAUGUCUGGGAAACUGCCUGAUGGAGGGGGAUAACUACUGGAAACGGUAGCUAAUACCGCAUAACGUCGCAAGACCAAAGAGGGGGACCUUCGGGCCUCUUGCCCUCGGAUGUGCCCAGAUGGGAUUAGCUAGUAGGUGGGGUAAAGGCUCACCUAGGCGACGAUCCCUAGCUGGUCUGAGAGGAUGACCAGCCACACUGGAACUGAGACACGGUCCAGACUCCUACGGGAGGCAGCAGUGGGGAAUAUUGCACAAUGGGCGCAAGCCUGAUGCAGCCAUGCCGCGUGUAUGAAGAAGGCCUUCGGGUUGUAAAGUACUUUCAGCGGGGAGGAAGGGAGUAAAGUUAAUACCUUUGCUCAUUGACGUUACCCGCAGAAGAAGCACCGGCUAACUCCGUG
rnacentral:rRNA from 1 species